rnacentral:SRP_RNA from 1 species
AUCAGGCACGGUGGCACCUGCCAAUAGUCCCAGCUACUCCCGAGGCUGAAGUGGGAGGAUCGCUUGAGCCCAGGAGUUCUGGGCUGUAGUGCGCUAUGCCCAUCGGGUGUCUGCACUAAGUUCGGCAUCAAUAUGGUGACCUCCCAGGAGCAGGGGACCACCAGGUUGCCUAAGAAGUGGUGAACAACCCAGGUCGGAAAUGGAGCAGGUCAAAACUCCCGUGCUGAUCAGUAGUGGGAUUGCGCCUGUGAAUAGCCACUGCACUCCAGCCUGGGCAACAUAGCGAGACCCUGUCUCU